rnacentral:rRNA from 1 species
UGGAGGUUUAAAUGGUCUGGCCUGCUCACUGAUAAAAUUAUUUAAGAGCCGCGGUAUAUUGACCGUGCAAAGGUAGCAUAAUCAUUAGGAGUUUAAUUGGAACCUGGAAUGAAGGGUUGGACGAAGGAAAGGCUGUCUUGAGAAUAAAAUUUGAAAUUUACUUUUAAGUGAAAAGGCUUAAAUAGAUCAAAGGGACGAUAAGACCCUAUAAAGCUUUAUAUAUAAUUUAGGUUCGACUGAUUUAAAUCAUAAAAGUUAAAUUUAAUUAUUUUAUUUUGUUGGGGUGAUGUGAGUAUAAUUUAGGUUAACUGCUUAAAAGAAAUCCUUUUAUAAAAGAUUUGUUUUAUAAAUGAUCCUUGUUAAAGAUUAAAAGACUAAGUUACUUUAGGGAUAACAGCGUUAUUUCUUUUGAGAGUUCAUAUCGAAAAAGAAGAUUGCGACCUCGAUGUUGAAUUAAAAUAUCUAUAUAGUGCAGCCGUUAUAAGAGAGGGUCUGUUCGACCUUUAAAUU